UACAGAGGUCUCGAGCGUUGUUCGGAAUCACUGGGCGUAAAGGGCGCGUAGGCGGGAUGGCAAGUCAGUCGUGAAAUCUCUCGGCUCAACCGAGAAACGUCGGCUGAUACUGCCGUUCUUGAGGGAUGCAGAGGAGACUGGAAUUCCCGGUGUAGCGGUGAAAUGUGUAGAGAUCGGGAGGAACACCGGUGGCGAAGGCGGGUCUCUGGGCAUUUCCUGACGCUGAGGCGCGAAAGCGUGGGGAGCAAACGGG
rnacentral:rRNA from 1 species